GGGGCUGGGGCUCAGUGGUAGAGCAGUUGCCUCCCAAGCAUGCGGCCCUGGGUUCGAUCCUCAGCACCA
rnacentral:tRNA from 1 species